ensembl:lncRNA
GGGAAGUCCUGCUGAGCCACAACACCAACCUCAGUGGAGGAGUGGGCUUCCUCUUCUCCAGGUCCUUUAAUCCACCGUCACUGGAGGUCAAACACAUCAUCGAGGGGAGGUUGUUCUUAGUCAAGGCGGCUGGUGGAUCACCAGCUGGGUGACAUCCGGUCGGACUCGGUGCCGUCAGAGGUUCGGGACUGGCUGGCUUCCACUUUCACCCGGCAGACGGUUGUGAUGCUGCGCCGUAACGAGGACAAGCCACGCUUCCGCAGCAUCGUUCAUGCAGUGCAGGCCGGCAUCUUUGUGGAGAGCACUGGCUCAGUGAGUUGGAGAUCUUUGCCAUCAUUUUUGCAGCUGCCAUUCAUGACUACGAGCACACAGGGACCACCAAUAACUUCCAUAUUCAGACAAGGUCAGACACCGCCAUGUUGUACAAUGACCGAGCUGUUCUGGAGAACUACCACGUCAGUGCUGCAUAUCGCCUUCUACAGCACAGUGAUGACAUGAACAUUCUGUCUAAUCUCUC